rnacentral:lncRNA from 1 species
GGUUCAAGUUGCUGGUGAUUAAAAAAAAAAAAAUUAGAAACAGAAAGAAAACUGCUUAGCUUUUAUUUCCUGUGUACUGAAUACCAAUUUAAAUCAGCCAUCCUGCCAGGCAUGAGCCACUGUACCCGGCUAGCAGGAAGUGAUUUUUCAAAAGAUGUAGGAAGAAUAAGGUGAAAUUUGCAAGAGGAAACAGGAAAUGUAAAAAAAUAUAAAAAGUUUACCACAAUUUUAUGAAUUUUUAGUACCCAGCAUAUACUUGGUACUUGGGAUAUAAAUGAGUAAGGUGUUUUGUUUACACUUUCCAGAUGUGGGCACAGGAAGAGCAUAGUGACAUUAGCGUAAUUUCUAUACAGUGUGAAGUGCCCUGUUGGAGGUACGCCUGGAGUAAUGUGGAAGCACAGAGAGCACUUGACCCACCUCUAGAGCAUUCAGGC